UAUUAAUAUCCAAUAAUUUGAGAAACAAUUCUGAAUAGAUUAUUUGUAAAAAUAAUACAAAAUUAUUAUUAAUUAAAUUUAAGUACUUCAGUGAGAAUAAAAACAGAUCAAUCAGAUUAUCAUCAUAAAUAAAAUCUGAUGGUUUAUAUAUACAUUAAUCAUUUUAUUAUACAAAACAUUUUCAACUCAAUGAACCCAUCAUCAGCAUACACUCUAAGUCAAAUUUUAGUCAUUGGAGAAUUCCAAUUCUCCAGAACAUUAUAUUGGAGAAUUCCAAUUCUACAAAUGCAAUUUUUAAAAUUUAAUAUGAUGAUUAGAUUUUUUGGAAUGUUAGUUAUAUCAAUUUAUGUAUAAAUCUAACUAAUCAUUUUAUAAAAUAAUAUUUUUUAAACUUUCUGUAUAUAAUUUAGCUUCACAUUUAAAAUACUCUCACAUCUUCAAAUAUGAAACUUUACUGAUAUAAAUUAACUUUACAAAUAUCAAGUAAAAUAUUAUUGGUUAAAUAAUAUAGGGGUUGCUAAUAUUGGAAAGAGAUUUACUAUUUAGAUGACCUGGUACUAUUUUUCAGUUACCAUAACCAUGCAGAGGAUACAGUAUCCAAAAUGUUGUCAUAAUUAUCACCAUUUCUUUUCUUUGUCACAUAAAGGGCUUCCCUGUGAGCACUUCAAAACUCCUAGCCAUUUUCAUUCUCGUAGUCUCAUUCAAUUUUAAAAAGAACAUGUGAUGCCAAAUCACAUAAAAUUUCUUUGUAAAUGCUGUUCUUUGGUUUCCUUUCUCUAUGUCUUUUUUAUGUUUGUUUACUCUCUUUAUUAGACCCCUUUUCAUAAGGCAUAUAUACUAUUAUUCUUCUCCUGUGUGAUUAUUUAUAACUGGUAUUGUAUAGAUUUCAAUAUAAGUUUAAGUUUUAUCCUCAUCAUUUUUUAACAUUGCAAAAGAUAAUUCUUUGUUUCUAUGGGACUGUCACUUCUAUCUUUUUCUUUAUUACUUUUCUUAUCACACUGCAGAGUCAAAAAACAGUAUAGAUCCCAUAUAUUUAAAAACUAUAAUCUAAUGAUUAAUUAUUAGAUAUGAGCGAUGAGAAUUAACACUGCCUGAUAAUAAUUACACAACGUCAUUAAAAUCACUAAGGCAGGAUUGAUUUAUACA
rnacentral:lncRNA from 1 species